rnacentral:rRNA from 1 species
CUCAGGAUGAACGCUAGCGGCAGGCUUAACACAUGCAAGUCGAGGGGCAGCAUGAGACGGAGAUUCGUCGAAGUCUUGAUGGCGACCGGCGCAAGGGUGCGUAACGCGUGAGCAACUUGCCCGUUUCAGGGGGAUAACCGGUGGAAACGCCGACUAAUACCCCAUAGUAUUGGAUUUAGGCAUCUUUAUCCAAUUAAAGAAUUUCGGAAACGGAUAGGCUCGCGUGACAUUAGCUGGAUGGCGGGGUAACGGCCCACCAUGGCGACGAUGUCUAGGGGUUCUGAGAGGAAGGUCCCCCACACUGGAACUGAGACACGGUCCAGACUCCUACGGGAGGCAGCAGUGAGGAAUAUUGGUCAAUGGUCGGAAGACUGAACCAGCCAUGCCGCGUGAAGGUGACGGCCCUAUGGGUCUUAAACUUCUUUUGUAAGGGAGCAAUAAGGUUCACGUGUGGACUGAUGAGAGUACCUUACGAAUAAGCAUCGGCUAACUCCGUG